rnacentral:rRNA from 1 species
UGAGGAAUAUUGGUCAAUGGGCGAGAGCCUGAACCAGCCAAGUCGCGUGAAGGAUGACUGUCUUAUGGAUUGUAAACUUCUUUUAUACGGGAAUAACAAGAGUCACGUGUGGCUCCCUGCAUGUACCGUAUGAAUAAGCAUCGGCUAACUCCGUGCCAGCAGCCACGGUAAUACGGAGGAUGCGAGCGUUAUCCGGAUUUAUUGGGUUUAAAGGGUGCGUAGGCGGCCUGUUAAGUCAGCGGUGAAAUCUAGGAGCUUAACUCCUAAAUUGCCAUUGAUACUGGCGGGCUUGAGUGUAGAUGAGGUAGGCGGAAUGCGUGGUGUAGCGGUGGAAUGCAUAGAUAUCACGCAGAACUCCGAUUGCGAAGGCAGCUUACUAAGGUACAACUGACGCUGAAGCACGAAAGCGUGGGUAUCAAACAGGAUUAGAUACCCUGGUAGUCCACGCAGUAAACGAUGAUAACUGGGCGUAUGCGAUAUACAGUAUGCUCCUAAGCGAAAGCGUUAAGUUAUCCACCUGGGGAGUACGCCGGCNACGGUG